rnacentral:rRNA from 1 species
GACGAACGCUGGCGGCGUGCUUAACACAUGCAAGUCGAACGGAAAGGCCCUGCUUGCAGGGUACUCGAGUGGCGAACGGGUGAGUAACACGUGGGUGAUCUGCCCUGCACUUCGGGAUAAGCCUGGGAAACUGGGUCUAAUACCGGAUAGGAGCCACUUUUAGUGUGAUGGUUGGAAAGUUUUUUCGGUGUAGGAUGAGCUCGCGGCCUAUCAGCUUGUUGGUGGGGUAAUGGCCUACCAAGGCGGCGACGGGUAGCCGGCCUGAGAGGGUGGACGGCCACAUUGGGACUGAGAUACGGCCCAGACUCCUACGGGAGGCAGCAGUGGGGAAUAUUGCACAAUGGGCGCAAGCCUGAUGCAGCGACGCCGCGUGGGGGAUGACGGCCUUCGGGUUGUAAACUCCUUUCGCUAGGGACGAAGCUUUUUGUGACGGUACCUAGAUAAGAAGCACCGGCUAACUACGUG